rnacentral:tRNA from 1 species
GAGCCGUUAGCUCAGCAGGAUAGAGCACCUGACUUUUAAUCAGGGGGUCACAGGUUCGAUUCCUGUACGGCUCA